rnacentral:rRNA from 1 species
UACCAGCACCCCGAGUGGUCGGGACGUUUAUUGGGCCUAAAGCAUCCGUAGCCGGUUCUACAGGUCUUCCGUUAAAUCCUCCUGCUUAACAGAUGGGCUGCGGAAGAUACUAUAGAGCUAGGAGGCGGGAGAGGCAAGCGGUACUCGAUGGGUAGGGGUAAAAUCCGUUGAUCCAUUGAAGACCACCAGUGGCGAAGGCGGCUUGCCAGAACGCGCUCGACGGUGAGGGAUGAAAGCUGGGGGAGCAAACCGG